rnacentral:rRNA from 1 species
AUGGCCCACAUAUCAGAUAUUAAACUGAUAAGAACAGAUACUACACUUGAUCUUAGCCAAAAGGCCGAGAAAGGUAUGAUUUGCAAUGAGGCUCUCCACUAUGUUUUAUAG